rnacentral:rRNA from 1 species
GACGAACGCUGGCGGCGUGCUUAACACAUGCAAGUCGAACGGUAAGGCCCUUCGGGGUACACGAGUGGCGAACGGGUGAGUAACACGUGGGUGAUCUGCCCUGCACUUCGGGAUAAGCCUGGGAAACUGGGUCUAAUACCGGAUAGGACCACUGCCUGCAUGGGUGGUGGUGGAAAGCUUUUGCGGUGUGGGAUGGGCCCGCGGCCUAUCAGCUUGUUGGUGGGGUGAUGGCCUACCAAGGCGACGACGGGUAGCCGGCCUGGGAGGGUUACCGGCCACACUGGGACUGAGAUACGGCCCAGACUCCUACGGGAGGCAGCAGUGGGGAAUAUUGCACAAUGGGCGCAAGCCUGAUGCAGCGACGCCGCGUGAGGGAUGACGGCCUUCGGGUUGUAAACCUCUUUCAGCACAGACGAAGCGCAAGUGACGGUAUGUGCAGAAGAAGGACCGGCCAACUUCGUGCCAGCAGCCGCCGUAA